rnacentral:pre_miRNA from 1 species
GGGGUAAAUGAGUGUGGAUGAUGAGCCCCUACCCAUUUUUUGAAAUAGUCAAUUUUUGAAUACGUUGGUGAUAAUGGAGGCUAAGGCCUUCAAUUGGGGCUCAGGUGGUACCACCACGUCUCGAGCCUAUUUCUGAUAUCGGUAUUAAGAAUGAGGCUGGGGUUGUGGUGGUAGUACCACUUGAGCCCUAGUUGAAGGUCUUGGCCUCCAUUCUCACUAAUGUAUUCAAAAAGUUGAUUAUUUCAAAAAUGGGUAGGGGCUCUUCAUCCACACUCACUUACCCC